UACGAGUGCCCCAAGCGUUAUCCGGAAUCAUUGGGCGUAAAGGGUGUGUAGGUGGUUGUGUUCGUCUCCUGUUAAAACCCUCGGCUUAACCGAGGGCUCGCGGGGGAAACGGCACAACUUGAGGGUGCGAGGGGUGAAUGGAACUCAUGGAGUAGGGGUGAAAUCCGUUGAUAUCAUGGGGAACACCAAAAGCGAAGGCAAUUCACUGGCGCAUACCUGACACUGAGGCACGAAAGCGUGGGUAGCGAACGGG
rnacentral:misc_RNA from 1 species